GAUAUCCCACCCACUCGCACGAAGCGCUUCGCUUCAAGCUUCCUUGUGCGAACUGCUAGGGAGUGGAACUCCUUGCCGGAGUCUGUGUUUCUUGAUGGGUAUAACCUGGGUGUCUUCAAAGCCCGAGUGAAUAGGUUGCUUAUGGGCAGACGUGCUCCAUCGUAGGCCGCAUCAUCACUUACCAUCAGACGAGAUAGCGGCCAAACGUCGGCCCAUUUAACAUUAAAAAAAAAAUAACAAAACAAAAAAAUUUCAUUGGCACGCACGCGUAAAGUUCCGAAAUACUCACUAGUCGCAAGCACGAAUUUUUUUGUUUUGUUAUUGUGAUAAAAAUAAAACUAAUAAGUAAGUAUACAAAAAAGGUUUCUUUGGGAAAGUUGUUUGUAAUCAUGAGUACAAUCACGUGUUUAAAUAUCGUUCACUAAUUACCAGUCACCCUAUAUA